rnacentral:rRNA from 1 species
AGGACGAACGCUGGCGGCGUGCCUAACACAUGCAAGUCGAACGAGGUCCAACCGGUGGCAACACUGGUGAAGACCUAGUGGCGAACGGGUGAGUAUCACGUGAGCAACCUGCCCCGAAGACUGGGAUAACACCGGGAAACCGGUGCUAAUACCGGAUACCCCCACCGGAUCGCAUGGUCUGGUGAGGAAAUGAAUUUUGCUUUGGGAGGGACUCGCGGCCUAUCAGCUUGUUGGUGGUGUAACGGACCACCAAGGCUUCGACGGGUAGCUGGUCUGAGAGGACGAUCAGCCACACUGGGACUGAGACACGGCCCAGACUCCUACGGGAGGCAGCAGUGGGGAAUCUUGCGCAGUGGGCGAAAGCCUGACGCAGCAACGCCGCGUGAGGGACGAAGGCCUUCUGGGUUGUAAACCUCUUUCAGCAGGGACGAUGAUGACGGUACCUGCAGAAGAAGCCCCGGCAACUACGUGCCAGCAGCCGC